GAUGAACGCUGGCGGCGUGCCUAAUACAUGCAAGUCGAGCGAACAGACGAGGAGCUUGCUCCUCUGACGUUAGCGGCGGACGGGUGAGUAACACGUGGAUAACCUACCUAUAAGACUGGGAUAACUUCGGGAAACCGGAGCUAAUACCGGAUAAUAUAUUGAACCGCAUGGUUCAAUAGUGAAAGACGGUUUUGCUGUCACUUAUAGAUGGAUCCGCGCCGCAUUAGCUAGUUGGUAAGGUAACGGCUUACCAAGGCAACGAUGCGUAGCCGACCUGAGAGGGUGAUCGGCCACACUGGAACUGAGACACGGUCCAGACUCCUACGGGAGGCAACAGUAGGGAAUCUUCCGCAAUGGGCGAAAGCCUGACGGAGCAACGCCGCGUGAGUGAUGAAGGUCUUCGGAUCGUAAAACUCUGUUAUUAGGGAAGAACAAAUGUGUAAGUAACUAUGCACGUCUUGACGGUACCUAAUCAGAAAGCCACGGCUAACUACGUG
rnacentral:rRNA from 1 species